AAAACAUUUCUUUUUGAUUAAAAUUUAAAGUAAGUUCUGCUCAAUGAAUAUAUAUUUAAAUAGCUGCAGUAUACUGACUGUACAAAGGUAGCAUAAUAAAUUGUUUUUUAAUUGAAAACUAGAAUGAAGGAAUUAAUGAAAUAAAAACUUUAUUUGGAUAAUAAUUUGAAUUUUAUUUUUAAGUUAAAAAGCUUAAAUAAAUUUAUAAGACGAUAAGACCCUAUAGAAUUUUAUUUAAUAUAUUAAUAUAAUUUUAUAAUUAAUUUAUUUGAAGAUAUAUUAAAUUUUUUUGGGAGGAAAAUUAAAUUUAAUUAACUUUUAUUAAUUUUGUAAACAUUAAUAAAUGAUAAAUAAGUUUAAGAAUUUAAUUAAUUUUAAUAAUAAGAUUAAAUUACCUUAGGGAUAACAGCGUAAUAUUUUUGGAUAGUUCAUAUUGAUAAAAAUGUU
rnacentral:rRNA from 1 species